GGAAUAUUGGUCAAUGGCCGAGAGGCUGAACCAGCCAAGUAGCGUGCAGGAUGACUGCCCUAUGGGUUGUAAACUGCUUUUAUGCGGGGAUAAAGUUCAGCACGUGUGCUGUUUUGUAGGUACCGCAUGAAUAAGGACCGGCUAAUUCCGUGCCAGCAGCCGCGGUAAUACGGAGGAUACGAGCGUUAUCCGGAUUUAUUGGGUUUAAAGGGAGCGCAGGCUGAUUAUUAAGCGUGACGUGAAAUGUAGCCGCUCAACGGCUGAACUGCGUCGCGAACUGGUAGUCUUGAGUGAGUUCGAUGUUGGCGGAAUUCGUGGUGUAGCGGUGAAAUGCUUAGAUAUCACGAAGAACUCCGAUUGCGAAGGCAGCUGUCCAGUCCGUAACUGACGCUAAUGCUCGAAGGUGCGGGUAUCGAACA
rnacentral:rRNA from 1 species